AAGAGGCCAGGGCUCCUGUACCUUGAACAGUUCAGGGAAUUUCAGCAGGUGUAGCUUCUCAAGCAAGCUGCUACAUCUGCAGAAAUGCCCUCCACCACACAAUUGUUCAAGGUACAGGAGCCCUGUCCUCUUUCUCAUGCAGCCAUCCAUCUUUAUUGGGUUUUUUUUCUUCUUCUCAUAGUACUCCCCAUAAAGAUUUGCCAGGCUCUCUUUUAGAACAUUCAGGUUAAUCCCGAGAGCAAGACAGUGGAGGGACCUUCAUGAUUGUACUUACACUGUUUAGGCGCUUUUAAUGUCGACCUGGCCGGUUCUUGGCCGAGACAGGAAGCAACCCAACAAGACUUCCAGUGGAACAGAGAAAAGCAGAUGGAGAAACGCAAGUGCAGUGAAUAAGUUAAAUGAACAUAACAGCCAAGGGCUGAAGCCAGUCAUUUCCCUCAAGAGAACAAGAACAAUUCUGUGGCUUUAUUGGGGCUUGUAAUUAACA